UACAACCCAGACUAAACAACUCAACAAAAAACUAAGGCAUUUAAAGAUACGGAAGCAGGUUUAAAUGUCUAAGAAAAGGAAAAUAUAGAGUUCCCAUAAACUCCAACAAAAGUCUAACAACCAAAUGAGGAAAUAAUGCCUAGAACCUGAAAGUCAACGUACCAAAACUCUAACAAGGAUCAUAAGUCUAAAGGAAAUGGGUACAACCCAAUUAAACAUAAGAAAACCUAAAGUACUAGUCUAAGUCUGAAGAUGACAUAAACAAAAAGAGAACAAAUGGAAGCCCGGAGGAACUGGCUCACCCUUGAAUUCGAGUAGAUCAUUGGUUUUCUAAACGAGGUCUGUCAGUAGCCGUCUGAAGAUGCCCUGUACUCAACAAAGAAAGAGCAAGUGCAGUAUCAAUACACAACCACAGUGUACUGGUAGGAUCACGCGGUUAUCCCAAUAGGCGAAACAUAUAUAAGUCAUUACACAAUAAUAAUACACAUGCAUGCACCAAACAUAUACAAUAUCAAUUAUCACUUAUAAACAAUGUGCAAUUUCACAAUCUUAAGAUAUACAAUUACGCCAAGUCAUUGGUCCUCUCACGGAACUCAUACUCAAACUGUUAGUGUAUCGGUAUGUGGUACCUGAUCCAAGUUAGUGUGCCGGAUGUGAUACACGAUCCCAUAUAUGCGCCGGAACGUGCCACCCGAUCCAAGUUAGUGUGUUGAAAAGUAACACCCGAUCCAUUCAACAAGCCACAAUCACAAUCACAAUGUACAUUCUCAUAAUCAUACAAUCAAGUCAUGAUUCAUGGCAUACAAUUAUUCAAUCAUCCUCAUUUACGAUUAGUGUGAUCAAUAAUGCAACAUUCACAUACAUAUAUGCAUUAUAAUGAAGUAAUUACAAAUAUAUAUCACACCAACAUGAAAUCACAACCAUCACCUACCUCGAACAAAACUUGAAUCCCCUAAGAAACUUGAUUCUUCCCUUUUCGGAUUCUUUCCGCUUGUUCUUGGUCUACAAACAAUCAAUAUAACGCGAGGAUCAAUAACAAGACCUAAUUACCCGGAUUAUAACCAAUAAGAACAACCCUAAGCCAAACUCAUGAUCCCAAUAUACAAAUUAGGGCUUUUUCCACCAUCCAAAUAACUCCAAAACCCUUCCCCACCAAUAAUUACCUAUGAAUUUACAUUCUACGGAUCGAAAAACGGAUUCGGGGAGUGAAAAUCUUACCUUUAGCCUCAAGAAUGGUGAAAACCAAUCAAGAACACACCUGGGAUCGUCUCCUAGCUCUCAAGAACGAAACUUGCAGAAAAUAACGAUUUUGGGGUUUAUUUUCGACUUAAUUCGCGAUUGGCCUGCUAUGGCGGUCCCCAUCCCGCCUUGGCGGCUUGCACGGAACCAGUGAGUUGAUUUAAGAGUUUCAAGCCCCCAUUUCACAACUCACCUUCAUCCCAUGACACUCAGAAAAUACCCUUUUUCACGCUAAGAUCAGUUUCAGGAGUUCUACUUGCCCAAAUUCAAUUCCAUAAAGUCGUACGGAUUUCUUAAUGUCUUAGUUAUCUACUCAUAUGAACAAAUUCAUAAUUAGAUCUCCCAUUUGUUGCCAGAUUUCCCUAGACCUCACUUACUUCGAUUUCGUCCAAAUCUGGACUAGGUUGGGAAAUUUCAAGUUACUAUCAAAAAGUUUUCUGGCACAAUAAUUUUCCCUGUUGGCUUUUCUAUAACGACGGGAACAGAUCGUUACAUCUUGCUCGCCAGAUAUACAAAUAUAUAUGUAUACCAGUUACAUAUAUACAAUUAUUUAACAGAUAUACAUAUACAAUUCGACAAAUAUACAUACACAAUUCGCGUCUCUCCACUCUCUCGUUCGCCUUUCUCUUCCCUCUCCCAAUCUCGCUCGCCUCUCUUUUCCCUCUAGCAUGUAGCUACGAAUCGUAAUUAACAAAAUAUAGUUAUGGAGCAUAAUUAAGUUACUUUUGAGUGGCUAUGUGCGAAAAUUCCCCAAAAAUAAAUAAAUUCCCUCAUAACUAUUUAUUCCCAUGUUGAAUUCUUGGCCAAUUAUUAUUAUUAUUUUCUUAGUCACGCUAUACUUGGUCAGGGGUCGUCCAAGAAACAUUUACCUGGUCAAUUUUGCAUGUUACAAAGCAAACGAGGCGGAUAUGAUGAGCAAACAACAACUCUUAGACAUAAUGUCAUCAACUUUUAAUGACGAGGCUAUACAUUUACAGAAGAAAGUAUUGGAGAGAAGUGGUUAUAGUGACAAAACGUUUAUUCCUGAAGGUAUCAGAAGGUUACCUGAAAAGUUGUUGACGUUUGAAGAGUAAAAGAAGGAAACAGAAAAAGUCAUGUUUGGAGCCAUAGACGAUUUAUUGGUGAAAACAAAAGCGAAGGCUCGUGAAAUUGUGAUAGUUAUAGUGAAUAUUGGCAUAUCAUCCAUGAUAGUUAACCAUUACAAUCUUGGAUCGAAUGUUCUCACUUACAAUAUUAGCGGCAUGGGUUGCAGUGCUGGACUCAUUUCUAUAGACCUUGCAAACCAGCUUUUGCAGUGCAGGUUAGUAAGACAUUUAUCACUCCAUCCGUUCCAUUUUAUGUAUAUUCUUUUAUUCUAAUUUGUUAUUUGUGUAUUGAAUUUCUAGUUUGUUUCAACUAACUAUCGGGAGAUUGAAAAACCACAUAAUUUACUUACCGCUUCCUUGAGAAAUAGAAGAAUAUAACUAGAAUGACCAGGGGCGGAGCCACGUAGGCUCCAGGGUGUCCAAUUGGACACCCUUCGUCGAAAAAUUAUACUAUAAAUACACGUAAAAUUUUUGACUUUAUAUUGGUAUAUAUAGAAUUUGGACCCCCUGAAAUAACAAAGUGAUGGGCAGUGGAGUUGGCUAAUAGCCUGUGCAAUCCUACUUUUUUGUCCCAGUUCGAUUCCCCGCAGGGCUGUUUUCUUUUUCUGUAAUUAUUUUGACUUCUUGAAUUCAAUUAAGUAAAUAAACAUGCGUAAUUUUAACAUAAAAGUUCAAUAGCUUGGUGGUUUAUAGUAUCAUGAAGGUCUCCAAGACCCAAGUUUGAAUCCCUCCUCUACUAACUAUUUUUUUUCAAUUAAAAUUAAAUCAUUUUAAUACAUUUUCCUUGUAGAAUAAUAUUUCCUUGAAUUUAAUAAUUUUUCUUGUGGAUUUUUUUCAAUUAAAAUUGAAUUAUUUCCUUAAAUUUUAAUACAUUUUCCUUGUAGAAUAAGAUUUCCUUGAAUUUAAUACUUUUUCUUGUGGAUUUUUUUCAAUUAAAAUUGAAUUAUUUCCUUAAAUUUUAAUACAUUUUCCUUAUGGAAUAAGAUUUCCUUAAAUUUUAAUACUUUUCCCUUAUGGAAUAAGGUUUUCUUUCUCUAUAAAUAGAAGACUCAUUUACCCAAAUAUCACAAUAUUAUUAAGAAUAGAAUCUCAAUAAUUCUCUCUCUAUUUUUUCUUCUCGUUCUCUUAUUUUAUAACAAAAACAAAAAACUUAAUAUUUUAGUUUCAAGUUUCAAUAGACAUGACGAAUUAUUAUAAUAGAGUACCAAAAAAAAGUUCGACUUCUCUAAGUCAACCAAAUAAAGAAACAACCGUAGAUCAAUUAGAGAUGUUGUCACAUUCUUCUCAAAAACAAAGCAUUGAUUUAAAUACUCUAAAAAUGACUUGCAAAAUCGAAUGGAUGAUGAGUUUUUAGACGGUUGUAUAGUGCCUUAUGUAGAAAAGAAAGUAUUUCGUACUAUUUCUAAUGAGUCUAUUAUAAAAACGUUUUAGGAUAUGAAACCUCGUCGAGUACAAUUGUAAUAAUAUAUUUAAAUUAUGUUUUCAAUAGUAGUUUAUUUUCUUUAUGUUAGUUUUGAAUUAUACACUUGUAAUUUUAUUUAAAAUAUUCCUAUAUUUAAUUAAAUAUUGCUUAACUUGAUUAUUUGUUUUGGUAAUUUAAAUCGUCGUUUUUUAAAAAAAAAAAUUACUAUUAAAAGUUUGGACACCCCUCAUUAAAUUCCUGGCUAUGCCACUGAGAAUGACUUGACAAUUUUUUAAUACUAAGUGGCAAAACUUGCGAUGAAAAAAGAGCCGGUAGCAUUAUAGCAGUUCUUGCCUGUAUAUAUGAUCGUAGAGUCGGAUUUAACAGCGAAUAAAUUUGCUUCAAACUUGUAGCUAAAAUAAGCACAUUUUUACUCCCAAUUUUCUCGAUCGAAAGCUAAAUGUGUCAAACCAUCUAAGUAAAGUCUUAUUUUCUUUUUAUCAAAGAUAAGCUUAAGCCAUCUAGGAUAAUUAAAAUGGAGGGAGUAGUAUCUUAUCACUAACCACUCUCAGGAUUCAGAACUAAGAAGGAAUAUUUUUUUUAUUAUGCAUGUUAUAUGUAUAAUUUUUUGAUACUGGAUAACAGGACCAUUAGGGAAAAAAACUCACACACCCUUUUUCUAACCAAUAAAUAAAUAAAAAUAAUAUAUAUACAUAUAUAUCCACUACUAAAAUAAUCAAACACGUCUCGGUUGACAUGUGUGCUUCCCCGAAAUAAAAGUUGAGUUCAAGGAUAAUUUAGUCAUUUAGAUUUAUUGCAGUUGUUUGUAAAUUAGGACUCUCAAAAUAUCACAUGUGCCACAUAUAUUAUUUAAAAAGUACAUUUAAAAUAUUAUAAGAAUAAUUAACAACAAAUUUAUAAAAUUAAAAUAAAUAAAAUAAUAUACAUCGGACCCGAACUUGUCCGUACUUUUGUUUCUAGAAUAUAUAUAUAUAUAUAUAUAUACACAUAAUCUCUUUUAAAAUCGAAAAUCAAAAUUAUCGAACUGCAUCUGCAUGCCCGCCCCUACUUUCUGUGUGUGUGUAUAUAUAUUUAUAUACUGAAAGUAGGGGCGGGCAUGCAGAUGAAGUUCGAUAAUUUUGAUUUUUAAUUUUAAAAAAGAUUAUAUUGUUAUCAUACGUUUUAAAACUACAACAAGUAGUGAAAUGUGGCAUCUUAAUUUUGUAAUUCCUAACUAAGAAAAUGUUGGGAAAAUAUGGAGUAGUAUUAUAUACUCCCUCUGUCCCUAAUUACUUAUCCACUUUUAAAUUGACACCUAUUAAGAAAACAAUGAUUGACAUAGUGAGUUUAUCAUUUUACCCUUAUUAAUUAUGAAGUGAAUGAAUUAAAAACUUAAAAUUUUCAAGAAGUUCUACCUUGUUCAGAGUAAUUAAUCGAGGGUAUAAUAGGUAAAAAAAUUAUCUUUUCUUGAUUAGCUUUACAGGAUCUGUGACCUGGAGGUAGUCCACCCAGUCAUGGAUCUAGCAAACUCAGCAUCCUUAAGCUAGCGGUAGUCCGCCUGCGAAAGAAUCGAAAUACACAAGAAUUUUGGCAUAGUUUCUGUCACGACCCGAGUCUACACCCUGGAUGUGACCGACACUCAAGAACCAUUGUUGGUCCCCAAGUUAACCCUCACCAUGGCUGACUACAAGCGGAAGAUUAACUUAAGCAUUCAAAAGCUUAAAACUGAAAUAAAAGUUCAUAAAACUGAAAGAUAAAACUUUAACUCAAAUGAAAUACUAUGAAUAUUAAAAUAAUAUUCAACUCGCCAUAAAAUAGGCAACUUAAGUCUUUAAAACAUUUAAUAAAAUAAAUGAUACAGACUUCUUAACUAUACUGACUAUCUAUGAAGCCUCUAACUGAUAAAUAUGGAAGUCGGGACAAGACCCACGACAUCCUGACAAAACUGAAAAGUAAAUGAAAUCCUCCGAAAAUAAGGAGGCUCACCAUAGCUAACUCGAACUCUCGGAUGUAUCAACGAAGCUCUUGUUGAUGAUCCUGAAUACCUGUGUCUGCAUCAUGAGAAGAUGCAGGCCAAAUGGCUCAGUACAUGGAAUGUACGAGCAUGUAAGAGGAAUUCUAAAGCAUAAACAUAAGCUUGAAACUUGAUAAAACAGGAAACAUACUUACCUAUUCUCAAACUUACACAACUCAAGGAGUACUCAAGGAUAUUCAAAACUACUCAACUUACUCAACUCAGAAGUACUCAAGGAUAAGAUACUCAACUCAAAGAUAUGAUAUUUGACUCUGGGUACUCAACUCAACAUGACUGAACUCAUUUCAAUAUAAAGCAAUUUAAAACAAGUGCAAUAUAAAGAAACAAACUGUUUAAAAACAUAGUUGUCAACUCUGUGUGUAUGCAAGGAUACACCAUAACUCUGAAAUGUAUGUAAAAAUACAAAUAACUGUGUAUAUAAAAAUACAAUAACUUUUGUGGGAGUUUCUCUAACCGACAACCAUCACUUAAGAGCUAUAGUGAUGAUACAGCACUUUACCUCGCGCUGCCAAGGACCAUCCUAUACCUUUCCAUCGGUAUAGGACCUUACUUAACUUUGUGGAUCCACUAGCUUAACUUAAGUGAUCAUCUAAAAAGUAUGACCCAUUAUAUCCCAUGUUGGCCACAUGGUUCUUAUGGAGAUUUGAGUUAAUAUAAACUCGCAUCCCCAAUUCGGUGCUCAAUACUACUCCCAAAAAUAUACUUUAGCUCAUAUGUGUUUUAAACACCUCUUUCUUCAGUUUGAGAUAAUUGCUCAAAGCUUAGCCCAAAGGCUCUUUUGGAAUCGAUGUUCCCUUUAUUGAAAACUACCCCAAAGACUCUCUUGAAAUCAUCUUCCCUUUUCUUGCUCAAAUGUGUAAAAACAUUUAUAAACUCUUAGGGAAUACUUAGUUCCCUUAUAACUUUUGAGAAAUGAAUUCAACUCUUUACUCUUUGCUUAACUUGAAACUUUCAGUCUUAAAACGAAGUUAAAACGUUUAUACAAGACUUUACUCUUACUCUUUACUUAACUUCAAAGCUUGAGUCUUAAAACAAAGUUAAAACAUUUGUAAAAGACUCCUUAAAAUAUGGUUCAUGCCAAAUUAGGGACAUGAAUGACUAAAUGCAAGGUUUUCAAUAACCAUAGAUAGAACUCAAUACUUGGAACUUAAGAACUUCAAUGAUACUACUCAUUUAAAGAAUGCUCAACUCAAAGGGUUCAUGCGGAAUUAUAAGUAUGAACUUCUUAACUCAAGAACUCAAAGAUACUUCUCAAAAGGGUUUAGGAAUUCAACACUUAAAGGCUUAAAACUUGAAGAUACCACUUCUCUGAAAGAGGCUCAACUUACGAAGUUCAUGCGGAAUUAUGGGCAUGAAACAACUCGACUCGAUGGUCUACAUAACAACAUGGACUCAUGUAUAUGACUCUUCUCAUUCUCUUACUUACUUUCUCAAAACUUAGUUCAAAUCUAUAGUUAAUCUCAAAGGAUUCACAAUUGAACUCAAAGACUUACUUGAACUUUACUCUUAACUCUCUCUUGAAUGUGAAUUAUGAAUUCAAGAGUUUUGGUUCAUGAUAUGAAGGAUCUCAUGAUGACAAAGUAGAUUCAUGAAUACAUUCUCCUCAUCCUCAUUCUCACUUGCUUGAGUCUUGAAAGAAGUUACUAGUAAUUGUAGAAGACUCCUCAAAGACUCUAAGGGACCUUGUCAAAGGUUUGAAAGAACUCUCAAACUUGACUCUCAACUCUACCUUGAAUUUGAUUUAUGAAUUCAAGGUUAUGAUCAUGUUAGGAAUGAUUUUAGGUUUUUAGAAGUAGCUUAGAGUAAUUAGAAUCGAAAAGGAGUGAAAGUGCACUUUAAACGAACUCAAACGAGGCAACCGACGACAAACUGGGUGGGGCAGGCGACCCUGGCGUUAUGGGUGGCAUGGGGCACCAGCCCCUACACUUCAGAGAUGGGUUUAGGGCGCUCUGGCAGGCGCAUCGCGCCAGGCUUCGAACCCAGAAAAUUCAGCAAGUUUCUUUUCUCGUUUUCUCAGCGUUUUUCGCCUAGAAUCGAAUGGUUUCUUCCCCAAUCACUUAGAAUUGAUUACUUAACAUAAGUACACUAUAAUCUAUUCAAUACAUCCCUUAAAACACUCACUUUGAUCUCAAGAAAUCAUCCAAAACCCAACACAACAAGAUUUAGAAUGAACUUCAAGAACACCUAUCAAGAACUCAUCAAGAACUCAAAUCUUUCAACUUCAAGAAUGAAAUUUGCGCUGAAAAUAACAUGUUUGGCGUGUGGGUGAACAAACCCAACACUAUGGAAGCUUACAUACCUCUUAGGUAUUAAACCCAUGGUGAAAAUCCGCAACAAGAUGCAAAAAUCUCGACAAACGCUUGAUCCUCUUCUCUUUUCUCCUCUUUUCUCUUCUUGAACUCUCAACUAAAACCCUAGGCUAAUUUUAGGAUUAUAAAACUAAACCUAAUAGGAUUAGACCCUUAAAACAUUACUACCUAAUAGGAUUAUACCCUUAAAAUAUUACUAAAAAUGAAUUAAAUCUGAUUGGGUAAGGAAAAGACCAAAAUACCCCUCUCUAUUUUCGGCUAACUUUCCUUAACUAGACAGCCUAUCUUCAAAAGGCCAUAUCUCACUAAUACGAACUCGAAACUUAGCAAACUCGGCGGCGUUGGAAAGAUAAUUCAAAGGUCUUUCCUACAGUAUCUGGUAGCACACCUAACUCAUCCUGAGCUAGGAGUUAUGAUCGUUUGAAGUCAACCAUGAAUUAAAUCUGAUUGGGUAAGGAAAAGACCAAAAUACCCCUCUAAAAUCCGGUUUUGACUUUCCUUAUCUAGACAACUCAACUUCGAAUAGACAUAUCUCCCUGAUACGAACUCAAAACUGAGCAAACUCAGUGGCAUUGGAAAAAUUAUUCAAAGAUGUUCGUUAAGGUAUCUGGUAGCACACCUAAAUCAUCAUGAGAUAGGAGUUAUGGCCGUUUGAAGUCGACCCAAAACUCAUACUUAAGCAUAACUUGCAAAAUUUCAGAUUUUGCUAUUUCCAAUUUAAUUCUUUUUGAAACUCAAGGUGCUACAUAGUGACCUUAACACUAAAGAAAUUUUAAACUCCUUGGUAAAAUCUCACUCACUACGAAGAACGGUUUGAGUCUUAGUUCAAAAAAAAUUCUGGGGUGUUACAGUUUCUCGGACUGCAUGGUGAUAUUUUUACCUGAGCAAAGGGUCUGUCAAGAAUCUAAUACAUACAUCUUAUUGAGCCCAUGUGUCUGACAGUUCUAACCGGGUAUAAAGCGCUCUACUUUAAACUCCUUUUCGGGUUGAGAACCUUGGCUGGCCAGACGGAGCCACUAAGGCAAAGCAAAUAAGAGUAGUACUAGAUCCGACUAUACCUCGAUCUCAGAACCAAGUUGAUAAUCCAUACUAAAAUUUCUUUAUAUUUAAACAAAGCUUAGAUCCGUUCAUGGUCUAUAUAGGAGAAAAGUUAGCUAUUCAACAUAGAUAUGAAAUCUUUAGCCGGACAUAGUCCUAGCUAAGAGAGACAGCACUAAAAGAAAAGAAAAGAAAAUACCUUUUAAGGACGGUUGUAACCAACACCCAAGUCUGUAGAACUGACCGAUUUUAUUUAUA
rnacentral:lncRNA from 1 species